rnacentral:rRNA from 1 species
AUUGAACGCUGGCGGCAUGCCUUACACAUGCAAGUCGAACGGCAGCACGGGUGCUUGCACCUGGUGGCGAGUGGCGAACGGGUGAGUAAUACAUCGGAACAUGUCCUGUAGCGGGGGAUAGCCCGGCGAAAGCCGGAUUAAUACCGCAUACGAUCUACGGAUGAAAGCGGGGGACCUUCGGGCCUCGCGCUAUAGGGUUGGCCGAUGGCUGAUUAGCUAGUUGGUGGGGUAAAGGCCUACCAAGGCGACGAUCAGUAGCUGGUCUGAGAGGACGACCAGCAACACUGGAACUGGGAAACGGCCCAGACUCCUAGGGAAGCAGCAGUGGGGAAUUUUGGACAAUGGGCGAAAGCCUGAUCCAGCAAUGCCGCGUGUGUGAAGAAGGCCUUCGGGUUGUAAAGCACUUUUGUCCGGAAAGAAAUCCUUGGCCCUAAUACGGUCGGGGGAUGACGGUACCGGAAGAAUAAGCACCGGCUAACUACGUG